rnacentral:rRNA from 1 species
UACGUAGGUGGCAAGCGUUGUCCGGAUUUAUUGGGUGUAAAGGGAGCGUAGGCGGGAAGCCAAGUCAGCUGUGAAAACUACGGGCUUAACCUGUAGACUGCAGUUGAAACUGGCUUUCUUGAGUGAAGUAGAGGUUGGCGGAAUUCCUAGUGUAGCGGUGAAAUGCGUAGAUAUUAGGAGGAACACCAGUGGCGGAGGCGGCUUACUGGACGGUAACUGACGCUGAGGCUCGAAAGCGUGGGGAGCAAACAGG